rnacentral:rRNA from 1 species
GACGAACGCUGGCGGCGUGCUUAACACAUGCAAGUCGAGCGAUGAAGUUCCUUCGGGAGUGGAUUAGCGGCGGACGGGUGAGUAACACGUGGGUAACCUGCCUCAUAGAGGGGAAUAGCCUUCCGAAAGGAAGAUUAAUACCGCAUAAGAUUGUAGUAUCGCAUGAUAUAGCAAUUAAAGGAGCAAUCCGCUAUGAGAUGGACCCGCGUCGCAUUAGCUAGUUGGUGAGGUAACGGCUCACCAAGGCGACGAUGCGUAGCCGACCUGAGAGGGUGAUCGGCCACAUUGGGACUGAGACACGGCCCAGACUCCUACGGGAGGCAGCAGUGGGGAAUAUUGCACAAUGGGGGAAACCCUGAUGCGGCAACGCCGCGUGAGUGAUGACGGUCUUCGGAUUGUAAAACUCUGUCUUCAGGGACGAUAAUGACGGUACCUGAGGAGGAAGCCACGGCUAACUACGUGCCAGCCGCCGCCGUAAUAC